CGACUGAGCCACAAACUUUUGCCGACUCCCGCGGCCGCAGCCGCCCGCAGCCCGACUCCAGCCGCGGUGCUCAUUUAAGGUGGCGCGGGCAGCAGCCGAGCAGGCCGAGCUGCGGCCGCGCUUUUGUCCCUGAGGUCCCCGCUAGGGCGCCGGACCUCCUUAAAGAAAAGCACGUGGGCAGGGGCCGCGGCCCCCGCGAGGCGCCCGGGGCGCCGGCUCACACUCGCGGUCCUGACCUGUGGCGGGAAAAUGAGGCCGCGUCCCCGCGCGCCUGGAGGCCGGCGAAGCCCCUCUGCUGGCGGCGCCUCCAGUCCCCACCGCGCACCGGGUGUCUCUCCCCUAAACCCCCGCACCCGGCGGACUCCCCACCAUCGCGCCGCCUGCGCCGCCGGUCCCCCUUAAGAAGCAUUGGCUGUACGGCGGCGCCAGAGGGCCAAACUCCAUUCGGUUUGGGGAAACGCGCUCCUAGGGUAAUGCUGGAAAGCUUGGGCCGGUGUACCGAGAGCGGGGAGCCGCGGCCGCCGGGCGCCCGGAGGUAGGCCGCCGGCCCCCUCGCCGCACCUACCCGGUGGGCGGCGUGCGCGCAGCCGUCCCCUCCAGAGCCCAGGCCUGGGAGGCGGAGGAGCCUCUGGAAGAGAAAGGGUCCCAGAAACUAAACCUGCCCCGGCCUAAGGCUCAGCGCCCCGCUCCCGGAGCAGCCCGCACCCAGGCGCCGCCCACCAAGGUCCAAGGGAGCCCCAGGCGCCCCGGGAGGCGGUCGGAGCCCAGCCGGGAAAGGAAGCCAGCUCCAUAGAGAACCUUCGGGGAGCCACCCUGCGAGCUCUGGGCUGCACGUUCUCUUCCCUGUGCUUUUAUCCCCCAAACCCCAUCUCUCCCUCCAACCUGAACGGACGGGUUAGAGAAAAUGCACAAUUCGAAGGCGGUGAGAACAAAGUGGCUCGAGUAAACCAACUCGUGGGGGUAGCUAAAAGGUUUUUGGCUGCAAAGAACCAAACUAAUCCUCCUCCGGAUCAGUGUCCAGGAACUUAGAAGAAAUGGUGCUAUUAGGACUUCAGUACUUCUGGAAAAAAAAAAAAAAAUGCAAAUGGUUUAGCCAGGAUCUUUCCUGUCUGAUUCGUCACUAUUAUUAUAUCUGAU